rnacentral:rRNA from 1 species
AAAAGAACUUUGGAGAGAGAGUUAAAAGGGACGUGAAACCAUUUGGAAGGAAGCAGAUAGAGCUGGUGGCAGCAGGGUCAAUUCAGCUAGCCUAUCUCUGUUGCACGUGCUGCUUUGGAUCUUUGUGGACCAGGUAGUGCGCUGUUAACAGGAUGGUUGGUGCACUUUGGCCCUGUGUGCACUGGAGCGUGUGGUGGUGCAGUAGCAGCUGCGUAGUUGGCUGUGCCAGGCUUGCUUGGUAACAUACUGCGCAGUGUAGUUACUGUUACUGCUACAUUAAUUGAAGCAUCUGCCCAUUGGGCGCAGCCUUCUGGUUGAGUGGGUGCCUGCUGUCUAGUGUGCUUGCGCACAAGCAGCAAAGUACACAUCUUGCCAGUCUGGACUGCAAACUGGUGCAAUCCAGUGAAAUCGUCAGUGUCCUAUCUGACCCGUCUUGAAACACGGACCAAGGAGUCUAACAUGUGCGCGAGUUGAAGGGUGGCAAACCCAUGGGCACAAUGAAAGUGAAGCUGGCUUUGUGUCAGUGAUACAGGAUCUGUUGGUUCUUUGUAGCUAGCAGAGCACUGUAGUCCCUUCCAAAUUGCUUGCCAAUUGGGAGGAGACAGAGCGUACACGUUGGGACCCGAAAGAUGGUGAACUAUGCAUGAGCAGGGCGAAGUCAGAGGAAACUCUGAUGGAGGCUCGAAACGGUUCUGACGUGCAAAUCGAUCGUCAGACUUGUGUAUAGGGGCGAAAGACUAAUCGAACCAUC